GGCUUAUCUCGUCCCCGCUUUGGGUUUCGUCAAACAGCCCAUUUUGUUUCAUUCCAUCGGAGAUCUUCUCAACCAUGGCGAGUAUAAAUGGGGUGUUUGGAGCGACGAGAGUUACUACUUUUCGCUUCUCAAGAGAUCCUCCGCCCCCGAAUUUCAAGAAUUGUAUCGCGGUAUAAUUGAUUUUAACAAGUCAGACAGCGAAGUGCUGAGUGCGAAUGUAGAGGUUCACAAACGAAAAAUUCUGACUGAAAAAUAUGCUUUCAUCUCCACAUCUAUGAGCAUGGAGUCGUUCGUUGCUGAACAUUGCGACGUCGUACGCGUCGACAAAUUGGCUGAACUUCCAUUUGCUUUUCCGCUGCCGAAAGGCUCAGCCUUUACACCUUUUAUCUCAAAAUGGAUAAGAAACUUCCACGAAAACGGACAGAUUGAGCGAUGGAAACGGAAAUGGAUUCCAAAGCGCAAUUGUACAGUUGCAAAGACGAAGUCUGAAGUCUUAACCAUGGUGGAUGUGCAAAGUCUGUUUGUUGUUGUGGCUUCUGGCACUGUGUUGUCUUUGAUUGUGCUAAUGUUUGAGCAGAUUUCCUUCCGCUUCCUGAAGCGGAGAGACCUUAAGAAAACGAAGAAAUAUGUAACAUGCCAACGAACCCUUUGAGUUUGUGAGUCGUAUGUAAGAUAAAAUUAAGAACUACACAGUCAUUCUUCCCCAUAUUAUACCGGAAAUUAAUAUGUGACGUUUAGCGAAUAAUUUUUUUUUGUCUAUAAUCAGCUAUUUCUUCGACGCUUGUUGUCUUGAGUGUAACGUCUGAACAAUACGAAAUGAGACUGAAACCGAAUCUAAUGUUUAUUUAAAAUUAUUGAAUAGCUUUCACGAUAUAUGUGUUUCAUUCUCUGUUUUGCUUCCCGACCAGCACAUUCUAUGUGUAAUAUACUAUAGUACAUUGGCCUUCAGAAGCACUAAAGUAUAUUAGGAAACUUAUCAUUUUAUGUAACAACACGGUGUAUGAGGAAAUAUAAAAUCCUCAAACAAGGCUGUGCAUUGUUGGUUCCGCUUUCCAUGGAAAUGUUCAGUGUUUGCCGUCAAUACUUGCAUGUCGGUAUUGUGUCUCGCAAGAGAGUGCGAUACCUUUGAUGACAUUCUGUCAAUAUUUGAAACCAGCACAAACAUAUGCGAGUGCUGUUUGUUUUACGUUAUUAUCACAUCUGUAAAUCUUUUGUAAACGUGUAUGUCCGGGUUGUGUUUUCGACAAAAACACCAGUAGUGGGCUUUUUUUUUUUGCCAUGUAAUGAAGAUCGGCUCAACGUAUAUUCGAGAAAACCGUCAACUAUUGCUUUUUCGUUGUAAUGAAACGGUUUCCUGGUUCAAACAUGUUAUUCUCUCCUCGACACACUAAAAACAUUCAUCUGUUAAUUUUAACAGAAAGUCUGUUGUCUUGAGUGAUGCUAGAAUGCAUUCCGUUUUGCAGAAGAUUGUUCUGUUAGUUACAACAUAUAUGUAGCUUAAUUUAACAUAAAAAUUCUAUUAGACUAACAGAGUAUUAUGCCAUAAUAACAAAAUACAUUCUAGCAUCACAAUUUCUGUUAAAAUUAACAGAUACAUUUUUUGCAAUGUGUUGCUAAAAUAUACCGCCGAAGCGACGUUAGAACAUGAUCAUUCAUUUAUUCCUUCAUGCUAAAAAAAUGGUCUUGUUAAACGUCAGCAUUGUCCUUUCUUGACAUGGCUAACCUUGACAGAGGAGAUUCUUAGGAGGUCAUGAGAUGUGCCAUACCAGACACACCAAAAACAUUGGCGUCACUCGUACCUCACGCACACAUGAUUAAAGGGCAAACCACAGUUCUGGUGACGA